rnacentral:lncRNA from 1 species
GUGACGACCCGCGAUUGAUUCUUUUUUUUAAUCAAAAAAAAAACCAAAAAAAAAUAAAUAAUUAAGCACCCCAAUGGAGUGCUAGUGAUGCUCUUAAGGGUAGUUAGGAAUUGGGUCUUACGAAAAAUUGUUUAGCUAACGACUGAGGUAAAAAAAAUUGUGUAGUCCAUCGGUACGUGUAGACAUUAGCCGUGUUCGUUUGUUAACCGCAAGACGCUCCCGCUGCGGCAAGAAAAAGCACGGUGAUUAUGAUCAAAAUAAUAGAAUCCG